rnacentral:lncRNA from 1 species
CACACUGCUCCGGCAGUGUUUUGCAAGGCGAUUCCAGCCAUCCAAAAGGUUCCCAAAAAUUCCCAAAUUAAUUGUGUAUCAUCUUUCAUAUGUUUUCUAUACUUUGGCAAAAUUUCAGAAGGUUUGAAGCUCUUAUGAUUUAUUUAUGAAUUUGUAAACAUCACUGCCCAUCUGGAAUACAUUUUUGGUAAACAAUCUUUGGGAGGCCAUAAGUAAAGUUUCAAUCGGUGAAAACCUUUGAAACUUGAAUAUGUCACUCUAGACUCCCGUAUCUUUCUUUUGACAUCGGCCUCACCAUUUUUGAGUAAGGGAAACAACCGGUAUAAAUUCUUGAAAUCUAGUUCUUAUUCCAUGUACCAUCCAGUAGAUUUUACAAACCUACGACUUUGAGGUGGCAAAUACCGACUUAAAUCUUUGAUUCUCAAGCCUAUCUUUCUACUGAAUAUUCACUGACAUGUUGGGAACUUACUUGUUCAGUUUUAGAAUUUUUGGUGAAGCCUAAAGUGGUUUUUCCGAUUUAUGUUCUGAAUCUGCCAAACUUGAACUCUUUUUGUGCACUGAACUUUAGAUAGUCAUAUCUUCUAAACCAUGAAUGUUCUUAGAGUAAAUCCAACUGGAGAGUGUUAUGAUCUCUCCCUAGUUUCCAGAUUGACCCUUGGGGUUCCCAGUGGAGUUUUGUAAAGGGAGAUAUGAAUUUUUAAAGAAAGCCCACUGACUUGGUUGUAAUCUGGAAAUCUGAAAUUUUCAGAUUUUUGCUAGUUAAAUACCCAUCUUUGAGAGGGCAUAUCUUGCUCGUUUGAAUUGUUUUUCAUUCGAUUCAAAUUGGAGAAUGAUCCUUGAAAUGUCUAGUUUCCAGAAUGUCUUUUGGAGCCUCAUUUGGAGAUCCGAGGCAGAUUUGGUGUCUGUUGCAAAACAACCUCUUAAGAGCUCAAGUUGUUGAAUUAUUUUCUAUGUAUCAAAGUUUAUUUUAAAGGAUGUUUCAUGAAAGAUUUAGUAUAUGUGCGUAACAAGUUUGGGACUAUUUAUUUUAAAUGAGGUCCGUUCUUUAUUUAAAUUAUGAUGGACUUUUAAUGAAUAUUUUUGGGAUUAAACUCUUAUUUCUUGAUUUAUAUAAAUUAUUUUUUUAAGGACUUAUAAAUAUGAAUUUCGUAGGCCUACUGACCUACUGUGAUCGACGGUUUGUCGAUGUCUAAUAGCUUUGAAAAUUUUAUAGCAAGUCCCUACAUGAGUCUUGAGUACCCUGGUAAAAUUUCAAGCCAUUCCAACUUCGUUUGAUACUUCUUUAAAAUGCAAAACCUAAACUGCACAUUACUACCGAGAAUUUCAGAGAACAGAUGAAAGAGUCAUUUAUUUCAGUAGCUUCCUGUGUGAUCUAGCUUUCCAAAUUUUUAUGGUAUUCACCUUAUUGUGUUAGCUAGAUAUCCACCAAAGUUGAGCCCAGUUUGACAACGUUUACUAUUUUUAAAAAAAUCCAAGUUUUCGAUUGUUCAAAACUGCCGAACAUGGUAGAUCGUGGUAAAAACGUCAUAUCUCUCAAACCACUUGGAGUUUUCGACUCUACUUUUUUUUAUAUGAAACUAGAUUCGAAGAUCUUUCUUUCAGUAUGAGUCUCGAGUCCAGGAGAUGUCGGAGUCAGAACAGAUUAAAUUUUGAAGUUGAGUCAGUGUAAAAACAGAGCAUGUUUUAAUGAUGUUUUUGGACUUCGGACUUUAAAGCGAACUAUUAUCAUUUAUUUCUUUAAAGCCACUGGUUUAUUUAAUUAAUUGGCUACUCUCUUUUGAGCCUAUUAAUUAUUUGAGGUUACGCUAGUAAUGAUGUAACGAAUUAUGGAUGCUAGAACCCUAAAACACUAAAAGAUACCCUAGGCACGUAGAAUUAGACUUUGUCUUAUGACAAUUACUUCACGAACUUAUCGACUCUUCAUCAAUGAAGGUCCGGGCGACAGAAAGUGAAGCCGAAGAAGAAACGACUCCACGCCAGCUUUAAGAACAAUUGAGGUGGGCAAUUUCUUACGCGUAAAUAAAAUGCUAUGCAAGUGUUAUGCUUUAAAAUGCAAAUUGGAUCUUCAAGUAUGGUAUGCUUUAUUACGCUUAAAUGAGUUAAGCUUUAUUAUGCUGCACGUUAAAUGAUUUACGCUAUGCUGUUUAUAUUAUUUACGCUUGAAUGCUUUACGCUGAUAAGAUUUAUGCUUAUGUUUGAUGCUUGCGUCUGUUGGGGGAGGCCUCCCUCAACAGUACGAUGCCGUGUCCGUUGAGGAGGGCCUUCCUCACGGCGCGAUGCCCGUGUCCGCUGAGAGAGGCCUCUCUCGCGGCGCGAUGCCCGUGUCCGCUGAGAGAGGCCUCUCUCGCGGCGCGAUGCCAGUAUGCCAGUGUUACAGCGUCUAUUGGGGGAGGCCUCCCUCAAUAGUACGAUGCCGUGACCGCUGAGGGAGGCCCCCUUCACGGUGCGAUGCCCGUGUUCGUUGGGGAAGGCCUUCUCCACGACACGAUGCGUGUUGAUGAUUGUUAAUGAUGAAGAAUGCGCUCAUGCUGUUUAUGAAUAUGGAAAUGUUUAAUGAGCAAAGGAUUUGAAAGAAACUUAUGCCUCUUAUGCGAAGUUGUGUUUUGUUGUUGAUGUUAUGUUAUAUGCUUGGCAACUGCCCACUAAGUACUCUUGUACUUAGCCCUUCGAUGUUUAUGUUUGUGCAGGUUGAGCUGUGAUGGGCGAUGAAGUGUUGUUGCUGAGUGGAGUUUUUGUCGAACUUAAAGUAGGCUCA